GGGGGGAGGCUGGAUCCUGGGCUGUGUCCUGGCGCCCUGUGCUCCCGGGCCUGUGCUUUUGGAUUCGCACUCCUGGCCGCGCAGCCGCCU
rnacentral:pre_miRNA from 1 species